CUAGAUCUUUUUCUUACUUUUAAUUCACCUCUUCCUUCUGUUUUUGUUUUCCUACUUUGUUUUCUAGUUAUUCAGAGUAGGGUUUAAUUAAAUUGCAGUUGCGGCUACAAUUACAUUGCGAACUUUUAUAUCACGGCAAAAUACAGUCGAAAUUGCAGUUGAAAUACCGUUGUAAGGACCUCAAAAUAUUUUAUAUUUGGACCACAAUUGUAGUUGAAGACUGCAUUUUAAAACCAUGAUAUAAGCUACCGAUGAAUUGUUAUCAUACAAAGUGAGAAACAACAUACACUCAAUUCGAGCUAGUUCAUGAACGAAACAAGUCAAACUAUACAUAACUCGAGUUCAGCUUAUUUAUUUUACGAGUUUAAAUUCAAAUCAUUUGGUUCAUGAACAGAGUUCAACGAGAUAAUUGUCAACCCUGUUGUAAACAUAUUCUAAAUUGUUAUGGGAAAGUUAAUUUCAUAUUUAACUUGUGGCUAAAGAAAGUGACAUUAAAUAACAUUUCAGGUUCUGAAUGUUUGGAAUGGAAGACAAGGUACAAGGUAGCACUUGGAGUAGCCAAAGGGUUGCAAUAUCUCCAUGAAGAGUGUCCAAGAAGAAUCAUUCACAGAGACAUCAAAGCCUCAAACAUAUUACUCAACCAAGAUGAUGAAGCUGAGGUACUUUUCUAUCAACCUGUUAUACACUAUGGUUAAAUUUUUGUGAACUUCAAUUCAUAUAUGUUUUUGGACACUAAACAAUUAAUUCUGUAAAAUUUAAACUGCAGAUUUCAGAUUUUGGAUUGGCAAAGUGGCUACCAGAUAAAUGGGCACAUCAUGUUGUUUUUCCAAUAGAAGGCACAUUUGGGUUGGCAUUAAUUGCAGCAUCAAAUGAAGUAGUUUUUAAUAUACAUUUUCAUGUUUGUGUAAUUUCAAUUUCUGAAACUUUUUGUUGAUGGAAUUGGUUCAGGUAUUUGGCUCCAGAGUAUUUCAUGCAUGGACUUGUGGAUGAGAAGACUGAUGUAUUUGCAUUUGGAGUAUUGUUACUUGAGCUCAUGACAGGUCGUCGUGCAGUCGAUUCAAAUAGCAGGCAAAGUCUUGUGAUUUGGGUAAGUCUCCGUAACCCUCAACAAACUAUACUCAAAUCCUGUGUGCAAUGCGGCUAGAGUGACAUUAGAAAUCUUAUGUCUACAUAAAUUUUUUAAUGUAUGUGUAACCGCAAUAUUAAUGUGAAUGAGAUCAUAUUAGUUCUAUUUUAUUUUGAGAUCAUAAGAUUUUUAAUGUACGUGUAACCGUAGUAUUAAUCUAGCAACUUUUCGACUCAACUUUGUGUCUCAAUUAGGUAGUUGUAGUUCAGUUAAUGAGCUAAGAGAUACAAAAUAUUUUUAGGAAAAAGCACGGGAAUCAAUUAAGCUCUAGAAAUUACGAUAACCACUAACUUACCGACAUUUUUUAUUUCAACAAAAAAAAUACUAAUAAUUUGUUGAAAACAAAAGAUUGAUCAUGUUUUGUUGUGGUCAGGCUAAACCACUAUUGGAUGCAAAAAAAGUGAAAGAAAUAGCAGAUCCAAGAUUAGAAGAACAAUAUGAUCCAACUGAAAUGAUGCUUGCCAUGGCAACAGCUUCCAUGUGUAUCCACCACAUGUCCUCUAAAAGGCCAUACAUGAGCCAGGUAACAAAAUAAACAUGUUUUUUUUUCCUCUCUUUCACUUUGGUAUUUGCUAUCAUACCCUCAUUUUGUUUUUUUUUAUUUUUUAUUUGUGAACAAUAUAGGUUGUGCUACUAUUGAAAGGAGAAGAGGUGGCUAUGGACCUGACUCAAAAAUCAAUAGCACCAAGGUCACUUUUGUUAGAUGCAUGUGAUUUAGAAGACUAUACUUGUUCUAGUUAUUUGAAUGAUCUCAAUCGCCACAAGGAAUUAAUCAUGGAGUGAUGAUUAUUCAUAUGAUAUUAGAAUUGUGAUCUGUUUGUAAUGUAUGUGUUGAAAAUUUUAUGGAAUGAUAUAAUUUGUUGUAUAGUUGUGGAAAAAGUUGAGAAUCUCACAACAUAAACUUUUGUCUUUAUAUAAUAUUUAGGCUUGUAAAUUGACAUGAACUUGUAAUGAUCAUCAUUAGUCAAGAAGCAAUCAUAGUUUGUUUAUUAGAGUUACAUAUUGUGUUAAUGCAUUUGUCAUAGUUUGUUUAAUAUUGUGUUAAUGUAGAGAUAUUGUAGGAAAAGUGUGUAUGUGUAUAAAUUUUGUUCAAGAAAGUUUGCAAAAUAAAAUACAAUAAUCUUCAAGAUAGAAAGAGAAUAUUAGCUCGGUUUCUACUGUUUUUUUCGGUCAAAUAGUCUAGUGAUUAAAAAUUUCACCUUAAAGUGGAUAAGUGAGAUAACCGGGUUCAAACCUCGACCCUGAAUAUAUAAUGCAUUGUCCCUAACAACUGAUUUAAGCUCAUAAAAAGUUUAUAUGUUUUCUUAUUAAAAAUAACACUUGUUUCAUUAAAUAUAAAGUCGUGUUUUAUUUUAUUUUUGACAGAACAAAGUGAUGGUUUUAUGUUAUGUUAUCUUGGACAUUUAUACAUAGCUUGUAACCAAAAAUAAAAAACAUUUAUACAUAGCCAUUUAAAUUGCAACCCAUAGCAACAAAAUAAAAUAAAAAAAAAGAUUAUGGCUUCAACAGAGGCAAUAAUUCAAUUAGGUAUCUUAAUCCUAACCUUAUCACUCUUCUUCCUCAUGCAUUAUCUCCGAAACCAAACAACCCAAUCCAAAACCCGAACCCGCAAUAAAACCGAACCAAACCGCCACAUAAACCAAGCAUCACGUCACCUGAACCGGGCCCGAUCCACAACAAACAAAGCCCAACACGCUAAAAACGCUCUCGUAGAAGCCGAUCAAGCCCUCUCUCUAACUCCAAGAGAUCCUACCGUUCNNNNNN
rnacentral:lncRNA from 1 species